rnacentral:rRNA from 1 species
AGUGAACGCUGGCGGUAGGCCUAACACAUGCAAGUCGAACGGCAGCACAGUAAGAGCUUGCUCUUACGGGUGGCGAGUGGCGGACGGGUGAGGAAUACAUCGGAAUCUACUUUUUCGUGGGGGAUAACGUAGGGAAACUUACGCUAAUACCGCAUACGACCUACGGGUGAAAGCAGGGGAUCUUCGGACCUUGCGCGAUUGAAUGAGCCGAUGUCGGAUUAGCUAGUUGGGGGGGUAAAGGCCCAGCAAGGCAACGAUACGUAGCUGGUCUGAGAGGAUGAUCGGCCACACUGGAACUGAGACACGGUCCAGACUCCUACGGUAGGCAGCAGUGGGGAAUAUUGGACAAUGGGCGCAAGCCUGAUCCAGCCAUACCGCGUGGGUGAAGAAGGCCUUCCGGUUGUAAAGCCCUUUUGUUGGGAAAGAAAAGCAGCAGGUUAAUACCCCGCUGUUCUGACGGUACCCAAAGAAUAAGCACCGGCUAACUUCGUG